UGUUAUAUAUUUACUAUGGAUAUAAUACGAAAAAAAUAAUUAUUAGAAAGCAGGCCAUGGAAUGCAACAAAACAAAUAUCUACUCAAAUUAUAAACAUUCCUCAAAUUGUCAAUAGUAAGUUGUCAAAAGUUUUACGUUACUUGAGCAUUUUUUGUUUUUGCAAAAUGCGUUUUACGAACCAUGAAGCUGUUGAUAUGCUUGCGGUUUAUUUUGAAUGUCUUCAAAAUGCUGCAGUAGCAAAAAGAGUUUAUGCUGCUCGAUAUCCAAAUCGAAGUCCUUGCGAUGUUAGAUUUUUUCCCCGAUUAGUGGCGAACUUACGAGCCAAUGGUAGUUUUCGGCCUAGGUUUCAACGGCCAAGAAUUAGAAGAAAUGUGGACAAUAUUAACAGCGUACUGGAAUAUAUUGAAGGAAAUCCUCAUGUUAGCACAAGAGCAUUAUCCCUUGAAUUAGGCAUAUCAAGAACAACGAUUCAAAAUAUUUUGAAGGACAAUAGAAUGCACCCAUAUCAUGUUAAUUUACAUCAGGCAUUGGAAGAAGCAGACUUUGACCGUAGAUUGGACUAUUGCCAUUGGAUAUUAGGUAUGAUACGCGAGGACAGAGAUUUUUUAUUUAAAAUUCUUUGGACCGAUGAAGCCACAUUUAAUAGUGACGGUAGCGUCAAUCUGCAUAACAUGCAUUAUUGGUCUGCAGAAAAUCCGCAUUGGUUGCGUGAAGUUCAGCACCAAGGGCGCUGGAGUUUAAAUGUGCGGUGUGGUAUACUUGGAGGCAACAUUAUUGGAUCAUAUUUUAUUGAGCAAUCUGUAAAUGGCAAUGUUUUUUUCGACUUUUUAGUAAUCAAUUACCGUUGUUGCUGGAAGAUGUGCCACUGGAAGUCCGGCAAAAUUUGUUUUUGCAGUUGGAUGGUUGUCCAGCACAUUUUGCUAGGAAUGUGCGAGAGCAUAUUAAUAACAUUUUUCAACAGCGGUGGAUUGGAAGAGGAAGCCUGUUUCCAUGGCCUCCGCGAUCCCCAGACUUAACCUGUCUUGAUUUCUAUUUAUGGGGGCGGUUAAAGGACAUUGUAUUUCAGACUCAGCCUACGACUAGAGAAGAUAUGAAAAACCGCAUUCGUAAUGCAAUACAUACCAUACCGAGAGCCGAAAUUGAAGCUGCAGUUCUAUCUACCUAUGAGAGGCUUCAGCAAUGCAUAGAGCGUGAUGGUCAGCAUUUCGAGCAUUUACGGGGGCAUUAAAACCCUUUCUUUUUAAAAUCGGUCCUUUAUAGGGCCACAACUUACAUUAUAAAAGAAAUUCGAAAUAAAUUAUUUUGUAGUUUUUAUAAAUA